GAACACGAGUACCUUAUGGUUAUGGAGGAGCCUCUGCUGUUAGGCUCACUGUCUCUUGUCUUUUAGGAUUCACCAUCUGUGGGACUGCCUCCUGCUACUAUAGCCCAGCUCAACCCUCAGCCAGCAGCCAGGAUUUCUUCCUCAGUCUCACCUCACCCUGAGAGUCAAGAACCGAAGCAGCAAAUAACCUUGCAACCGUCUCCAGGCUUGCCUUCCCCUCAGACACAUUUGUUCAGCCAUCUCCCCUUGCAUUCCCAGCAGCAAUCAAGGACCCCAUACAACAUGGUUCCCGUAGGGGGUAUCCAUGUGGUGCCGGCCGGUCUCACCUACUCCACUUUUGUACCCAUUCAGGCCGGGCCAAUGCAACUGACCAUCCCUGCUGUGAGCGUUAUUCACAGAACCGUGGGCACCCCUGUGGAUACCAUCACUGAAGUUUCUGGCGCUACUAAUCGCCCUACCGGAGUGGCUGAAUUGAGCAGUGUUGUGCCAUGUAUUCCCAUCGGCCAAAUCCACGUGCCAGGCCUGCAGAACCUAAGUCCCCCAGCCUUGCAGUCGCUCUCGUCCCUGGGAAUGGAAACAGUCAAUAUCGUGGGCCUGGCCAACGCUACCGUGGGUCCGCAGGUGCACCCCCCAGGCCUGGCCCUCAACGCAGUAGGGCUCCAGGUUCUGGCCAACGCUCCUGCACAGAGCAGUCCCGCCACACAGACACACAUUCCAGGUCUCCAAAUCCUCAACAUCGCCUUGCCCACCCUGAUCCCCUCUGUUGGCCCCGUGGCUGUGGGCACCGCGGGGACUCCAGAAACUGCCACUUCCAACAGCAAA
rnacentral:lncRNA from 1 species